rnacentral:rRNA from 1 species
AUUGAACGCUGGCGGCAGGCUUAACACAUGCAAGUCGAGCGAGCGGCGGACGGGUGAGUAAUGUCUGGGAAACUGCCUGAUGGAGGGGGAUAACUACUGGAAACGGUAGCUAAUACCGCAUAACAUCAGCUGUGCCCAGAUGGGCUUAGCUAGGAGGUGGGGUAAUGGCUCACCUAGGCGACGAUCCCUAGCUGGGCUGAGAGUAUGACCAGCCACACUGGAACUGAGACACGGUCCAGACUCCGACGGGAGGCAGCAGUAGGGAAUAUUGCACAAUGGGCGAAAGCCUGAUGGAGCCAUGCCGCGUGUGUGAAGAAGGCUUGCGGAUUGUAAAGCACUUUCGGCGGGGAGGCGGUACUCGCAGAAGAAGCACCGGCUAACUCCGUGCCAGCAGCCGCGGUAAUAC